rnacentral:rRNA from 1 species
UACGGGGGGGGCAAGCGUUGUUCGGAAUUACUGGGCGUAAAGGGCUCGUAGGCGGCCAACUAAGUCAUACGUGAAAUCCCUCGGCUUAACCGGGGAACUGCGUCUGAUACUGGAUGGCUUGAGUUCGGGAGAGGGAUGCGGAAUUCCAGGUGUAGCGGUGAAAUGCGUAGAUAUCUGGAGGAACACCGGUGGCGAAGGCGGCAUCCUGGACCGAUACUGACGCUGAGGUGCGAAAGCGUGGGGAGCAAACAGG